rnacentral:rRNA from 1 species
GAUGAACGCUGGCGGCGUGCCUAAUACAUGCAAGUCUGGCGACCGGACGAUAAGCUUGCUUCUCUGAUGUUAGCGGCGAACGGGUGAAGAACACUUGGAAAACCGCCCUAUAAGACUGGGAUAACUUCGGGAAACCCGAGGUAAUACCCGGCAAUAUUUUGAAACGCAUGGUUCAAAAGUGAACGACGGUCUUGCUGUCGCGUAUAGAUGUAUCCGCGCUGCUUUAGCUAGUUGGUAAGGUAACGGCUUAGCAAGGCAACGAUGCAUAGCCGACCUGAGGGUGUGAUCGGCCACACUGGAACUGAGACACGGUCCAGACUCCUACGGGAGGCAGCAGUAGGGAAUCUUCCGCAAUGGGCGAAAGCCUGACGGAGCAACGCCGCGUGAGUGAUGAAGGUCUUCGGAUCGUAAAACUCUGUUAUUAGGGAAGAACAUAUGUGUAAGUAACUGUGCACAUCUUGACGGUACCUAAUCAGAAAGCCACGGCUAACUACGUG